CUUGCAUCAUUGUAAAAAUGAUGCAGGAUCGACUAUGUCGAAUAAAAUUCUAGGUAGAAUUAUGAUAAUGACAUUGUCUGCCUAUGUGUCUUGACCAAAUUACGUGCCAGCAGUCGCGGUAAUACGUAGAAGACUAGUGUUAUUCAUGUUUAAUCGGUUUAAAGGGUACCUAGACGGUAAAUCAAGCCUAAAAUUAAAUGAAGGGACUAAUUUACUAGAGUUACUUAUGAGGGGGUAUUAAAGUACUGCUGGUGUAGAGAUGAAAUUCUGUCAUACCUCUUUUCAAUAGAAAAACAAUGGCACAGGUAUAGGCGAAAGCAUCCCCUUAUGUGAUAACUGACGUUGAGGGACGAAGGCUUUGUGUAGCGAACAGGAUUAGAUACCCCAGUAGUCAAAGCAGAAAAUGAUGAAUGUCAUAGAUUAGAUAAAUAAGUUUAUUCUAUAAAUGAAAGUGUAAGCAUUCCACCUCAAGAGUAAUUUGGCAACAUUGGAACUGAAAUCAUUAGACCGUUUCUGAAACCAGUAGUGAAGUAUGUUGUUUAAUUUGAUGAUCCGCAAAAAACCUUACCACAAUUUGAAUAUUUAUAUUUUUUUAUUGUUUUCUUUUUAAUUUUCUUCUGAUUUGAUUUUUCUAAAGAAAAAAAGAAAAAGAGGCGAUAUGAUAUAUUUACAAGCGUUGCACGGCUGUCUUCAGUUAAUGUCGCGAGACUUUGGUUAGUUCCAUUAAAUUAACGUAAACCCUUACUUUAUUUUUAUAUAGAGUAGUUC
rnacentral:rRNA from 1 species